rnacentral:miRNA from 1 species
UGGGUUGGCCAAAAAGGUCGUUCAGGUUUUUUCCAUAUGUUACAGAAGAACCCGAAUGAACUUUCUGGCCAAGCCAAU